rnacentral:rRNA from 1 species
CUACGGAGGGUCCAAGCGUUAUCCGGAUUUAUUGGGUUUAAAGGGUGCGUAGGCGGCCGAUUAAGUUAGAGGUGAAAUCCCGUGGCUCAACCACGGAACUGCCUCUGAUACUGGUUGGCUAGAAAAUGGUUGCUGUGGGCGGAAUGUGUAGUGUAGCGGUGAAAUGCUUAGAGAUUACACAGAACACCGAUUGCGAAGGCAGCUCACAAAACCAAUUUUGACGCUGAGGCACGAAAGCGUGGGGAGCAAACAGGAUUAGAUACCCUGGUAGUCCACGCCGUAAACGAUGAUAACUCGCUGCUGGCGAUACAAUGUCAGUGGUUUAGCGAAAGCGUUAAGUUAUCCACCUGGGGAGUACGUUCGCAAGAAUGAAACUCAAAUGAAUUGGCGGGG